rnacentral:rRNA from 1 species
GCACUCCCGUGAGAACGCCCUAAACCCCCUGUUCGGGUCACCNAGCUGGUAUCAGGCACACUAUUCAACCCAUGACACCUAGCUAUGCCACAUCCUCAAGGAAUUUCAGCAGUGAUCAAUAUUGAAAAUACGCGUCAGCGAGAUUCAGUUAAAGUACAGAGAGCCGGCAAAAUUGGUGCCAGCCGCCGCGGUUAUACCAAUAGACUCAAAUUGAUUAUAUCGGCGUAAAGCGUGAUUAAAGUCUUCACCAAUUAAAUAUAAAACCCUCACUAAGCUGUGACACGCUUGUGCCUGGAGAAAAUCAAAAACGUAAGUUAUUUUAAUUAACUCCCACUUGAAUUCACGACAGUUAAGACACAAACUGGGAUUAGAUACCCCACUAUGCCUAACCGUAAACUUUAAAUUACAACAUAAACGCCAGAGAACUACGAGCAAAGCUUAAAACUCAAAGGACUUGACGGUACCCCACAUCCACCUAGAGGAGCCUGUCCUAUAAUCGAUAACCCCCGCUUUACCUCACCAUUUUUAGUCGUCAGCCUGUAUACCUCCGUCGUCAGCUUACCACGUGAGCGACCCACAGUGAGCCUAAUGUCUACACGUCAACACGUCAGGUCAAGGUGCAGCUAACAAAAUGUGGAAGAGAUGGGCUACACUCUCUAAUUUAGAAGACACGAAAAACUUUAUGAAAUCUAGUUAAAAGGCGGAUUUAGCAGUAAAAAGAAACUAGAGAGUUCUUUUUAAUUUGGCACUGGGGUGUGUACACACCGCCGGUNACCCUCUUCAAAACACCAUUUGAUAGUAUUUAACUAACUUC